AAUUUGGGGAAGAAAAGGUGAUGAGCGGCUCAGAUAUUAAACCUGCGGAGGUCUUUAGGGUAGCGUAUUUCCACGCCGUGCAUUACCCGCCUGCUCCCAACUGCUCCGCUCCCCCUCCUGCUCUCCCCCCGCCCCAAAGGUUCGGCUCCCCUAGCUGAUUUCCACGCUGGGACGUACACCGUUCCUCCGGAGUUCAGCUACUCACGGCACCGACCGUCACGCACACCGUCACGUUUGCUCACGCUGAACAAAGACAGCACGUGCACAGCAGCAGAAAUGCAAAGGAUUCAUUUGAAAAGACAAAAAUCCAUAUUUGGCGGGCAGAAGAGGGAAAAGGUGAGCCUCGGGAAGGAGCACGUCUGUUCCUUCACACUCAAAAAAGGACCCAAAGUGACUUAGAGGAACCCGAGAGCACAUUGAAACCCGGCUUCAAAACGUGACGGGGCGCGCAGCCAUCACCGCCAGCUGCAGCAUCACGCCUGGGGCCACCCCGUGCACCUACCGCUGUGACCUACCAUCGCAAGGUGCCGAAUUAGCAGACAACCCCGUUUUGCGUAUUAAAGUUUUUAUUCCUUAGUAAGAACUUUUUCAAUCACAAAAUAGUGUGGAAAUAUUUAGAUAAUAGAAUUCAUGGAGUGCUGGAAAAUACGGAAUAUAAAGAUCGGUCUCUAAUAUAUCACAUACUAAUCUGUUCUAAACCGGCUGGUUUCUUGCAGACAGGAUUUAUUUUCUUUUAAUAAUUUAAGACGGCGUAAGCUCGUAUCAAGCGUAAGCAUCGUAACAAAAGUGCAACUUUGUCGGCAAAUCCUCCCAAAAGAUAUUUAACUCAAAAUAUCAUUAACACGUAUUUUCUCCCUACAAAAAUAGCAUGUCAGACAUCAUUAAUUGGAUGUAUUAACAACUAUGUACAUACAGCCACUCGGUAGGCCGCUAAGGUCUGGAACGUUGUUUAAACACAGCGUUUGAGGCGAACAGCAGCAACAGCAGCAGCAAUGCACCGAAGCGCCGGGCCGAGCCGGGUACGCGCUCGCGCCGAGUCAGACUGUUGUGUCUCACCUCUUACAUAACAUUCAAGUGAGAUUUCUCACAGUGCUACCUUGGCAACAAACUAAAAAUAUCCAGGCAAGGUCUCGGUUUAAGCCUUAUUAUAAAAGCUUUAUCUGUGUGAUUAUCUGGCGUCUGGUUUGGCUCCAGAAAGGGAAAUCGCGGUGCUCGGGAGCGGGAUGAGGGGAGAGCCCGGCCGGGAAAGUCGCCCCGAAGGUGUCGGCGUUCGAUUGCAAAGCGGGGGGGGUUUUCCUCCGCGUCGUGUCAGUCAGAACUUACGCUCAACGAGCCGCUCUCCGCUUUCUUAGCGAGGGGAGGGAGGGGGAGAGAGAGGGGUUUCCUUUCCGUAGUUCAGUGCAGAAACAUUCGUUUUAUACAGCACGGUUCGGGGGGGGAUCUCCGGGGAACAUACUGAAUUAAAUAAAGAGGGGUGAGCACAGACGCACUCGCCGCGGCCGUAUACCUCAGCCGAAAACAGAACAACCGAACGCGGGGUUACAUAACGGCUCUGCCCUCCUUCCCGCACGCCCGAAGCCGGCGGCGCCCCGGGGUGCCCAAGGCACUGCGGCCGCCCAUAAAGUGCUGGCACAGGUGCGGCGCUCCGCCGCCCCUCCGCCCCAACCUGAGCCCGCCCGGCGCGGUGCGAGCAUCUCGGCGGGACCCAGGGACACUACAAACCCAUCACAAUAAGGUGCGACAUUUAAGUUACCUUAGAGAGAGAGAGAGAGAGAAAAAAAAAAGUAUCCUUACUAUUUCUCUUCCUUUCCUUCUUCUUUUUCUUUCUUUUUUCCUUAACAUACGUAUGCACUUAUAAAGCCAAACAUUAAAAAAAUACUGAGUAGCAAAUUUCGUCCGGGACGGUCCUCUGCGGGGCGGCGGCGCGGGGGGCUCCGCGGGCCCCUCCGGCGCCGCCUCCCGCCCGCCCUCCGCG
ensembl:lncRNA